rnacentral:rRNA from 1 species
UACGGGGGGGGGCAAGCGUUGUUCGGAAUUACUGGGCGUAAAGGGCGCGUAGGCGGCCUUCUAAGUCGAACGUGAAAUCCCCGGGCUCAACCCGGGAACUGCGUCCGAUACUAGAAGGCUUGAAUCCGGGAGAGGGAUGCGGAAUUCCAGGUGUAGCGGUGAAAUGCGUAGAUAUCUGGAGGAACACCGGUGGCGAAGGCGGCAUCCUGGACCGGUAUUGACGCUGAGGCGCGAAAGCCAGGGGGAGCAAACGGG